UACGUAGGGGGCAAGCGUUGUCCGGAAUCAUUGGGCGUAAAGAGCGUGUAGGCGGUCCGGUAAGUCGGGUGUGAAACCUCCAGGCUCAACCUGGAGACGCCACCCGAUACUGCUGUGACUAGAGUCCGGUAGGGGAGCGUGGAAUUCCUGGUGUAGCGGUGAAAUGCGCAGAUAUCAGGAGGAACACCGAUGGCGAAGGCAGGUCUCUGGGCCACUACUGACGCUGAGAAGCGAAAGCAUGGGGAGCGAACAGG
rnacentral:rRNA from 1 species